GACGCUGCGCGUGCUAACACAUGCAAGUCGAACGAUGAACCACUUCGGUGGGGAUUAGUGGCGAACGGGUGAGUAACACGUGGGCAAUCUGCCCUGCACUCUGGGACAAGCCCUGGAAACGGGGUCUAAUACCGGAUACUGAUCUACUUGGGCAUCCAAGUGGUUCGAAAGCUCCGGCGGUGCAGGAUGAGCCCGCGGCCUAUCAGCUUGUUGGUGAGGUAAUGGCUCACCAAGGCGACGACGGGUAGCCGGCCUGAGAGGGCGACCGGCCACACUGGGACUGAGACACGGCCCAGACUCCUACGGGAGGCAGCAGUGGGGAAUAUUGCACAAUGGGCGAAAGCCUGAUGCAGCGACGCCGCGUGAGGGAUGACGGCCUUCGGGUUGUAAACCUCUUUCAGCAGGGAAGAAGCGAAAGUGACGGUACCUGCAGAAGAAGCGCCGGCUAACUACGUGCCAGCAGCCGCGGUAAUACGUACGGCGCAAGCGUUGUCCGGAAUUAUUGGGCGUAAAGAGCUCGUAGGCGGCUUGUCACGUCGGUUGUGAAAGCCCGGGGCUUAACCCCGGGUCUGCAGUCGAUACGGGCAGGCUAGAGUUCGGUAGGGGAGAUCGGAAUUCCUGAUGUAGCGGUGAAAUGCGCAGAUAUCAGGAGGAACAUCCGGUGGCGAAGGCGGAUCUCUGGGCCGAUACUGACGCU
rnacentral:rRNA from 1 species